rnacentral:tRNA from 1 species
GCCCUCGUAGCCCAAUCGGCAGAGGCAGGCGACUUAAAAUCGCUACCGGUGUGGGUUCGACUCCCACCGAGGGCA